rnacentral:rRNA from 1 species
AACCUCCGCAAUGUGAGAAAUCGCGACGGGGGGAUCCCAAGUGCCAUUCUUAACGGGAUGGCUUUUCAUUAGUGUAAAGAGCUUUUGGAAUAAGAGCUGGGCAAGACCGGUGCCAGCCGCCGCGGUAACACAGGCAGCUCUAGUGGUAACAAUUUUUAUUGGGCCUAAAGCGUCCGUAGCCGGUUUAAUAAGUCUCUGGUGAAAUCCUGCAGCUUAACUGUGGGAAUUGCUGGAGAUACUAUUAGACUUGAGACCGGGAGAGGUUAGAGGUACUCCCAGGGUAGAGGUGAAAUUCUGUAAUCCUGGGAGGACCGCCUGUUGCGAAGGCGUCUAACUGGAACGGUUCUGACGGUGAGGGACGAAAGUUAGGGGCGCGAACCGGAUUAGAUACCCGGGUAGUCCUAACUGUAAACGAUGCGGACUUGGUGUUGGGGUGGCUUUGAGCUGCUUCAGUGCCGAAGGGAAGCUGUUAAGUCCGCCGCCUGGGAAGUACGGUCGCAAGACUGAAACUUAAAGGAAUU